GUGGCAAAAGUGCGUUUUAGAAUGAUUACCGGCGGAGGCCAUCGGAGAAACAGAUUAUACGGUUCUACACAACUGUUGUUUUAAUCCCCAGAGGAGAUUUACACAGGAGAAAGCAUUGGCUUCGAACCCAGCAGCCAUAUUGUAUGAAAAAACGACAAGUGGACUCUGGUUUUCAGAAAAAAAAAACGUACUUUUAUCCAGCAACGCUGACAGGACUUUUAAAGAGUUUAAAUUCGCCUUCAAGGCCACUGGCAGUGGGUUUCAUGUCGGUCAGCUAGCUUCGCCAGCUGGCUGAGAACAAGACGAGCGAGACCGAGGACACAUUUCUCCAAUUGUUUUUGCUCAAUUCUUUGGAUCGGAGGAGUUCCUUGUACACGUUGAAAGAUGAAGGACCGAUUGGAGCAACUGCGAGCGACAUGCAAUCAAGAUGACGAUGAAGUGGAGAUUGCUAUGGACAACGCCGCCUUCAUGGAUGAGUUUUUCUCCCAGAUUGAGGAAAUCAGGAACAGCAUCGACAAAAUUGACGAGAAUGUGGCUGUAGUCAAAAAGCUUUUCUCCGUCAUUCUCUCUGCUCCCACGUCAGAUCAGCAAACACAGGAUAACUUGGAGGCAAUCACCAAUGACAUCAAGAAAAUGGCAAACAACGCUAGAAACAAACUCAAGACUAUCGAGAGGAAUCUGGAGUCAGAAGAACAGGAGAGGGUGUCAGCUGACAUGCGGAUACGUAAAUCACAGCAUGCAGUGCUGUCGAGGAAGUUUGUGGAGGUCAUGACAAAGUAUAAUGAAGCCCAGGUGGACUUCAGGGAGCGGAGUAAAGGACGUAUUCAGAGACAGCUUGAGAUCACUGGGAAGGCGACAACGGAUGAAGAACUUGAGGAGAUGUUGGAGAGCGGCAAUGCUGCUGUGUUUACUGCAGGGAUUGUGGACUCUGGCAUUUCUAAACAAGCCCUGAGUGAAAUUGAAGCCCGGCACAAAGACAUUGUUCGCCUGGAAAGUAGCAUCAAGGAGCUGCACGACAUGUUUGUAGACAUAGCCAUGCUUGUGGAGAACCAGGGUGACAUAGUAGACAACAUAGAGCAGAACGUUUCCAAGUCAGAGGACCACAUCAUGGUUGCUAAAGAGCAGACCAAAAAGGCUCUAAGGUACCAGACCAAGGCACGCAAGAAGACGAUCAUUAUUGGUGUCAUCUGUGCAGUGCUUGUUAUCAUCCUUCUCGCCAUCAUCCUCUCACAGACUCUAUAGCAGGACCACAGUCAUCAUAAUCAUCUUCAUUCCAUCCGUCACCCAUGUGCAAACCAAAGAAAAGAGUUAAUAGGGCUCUGUACCGCAUGUACAUCUCAUUCAAUAUCGGGUUGAACAUCUGUAGGAACGAGAGGGUCGAGGAGGCGUGCGAUCGAGAGCAAUUUUGACCUUAAUUCUCUGAAUCUAAAGACGGUUUGUUCUGCCUCAAAUAAUGACCCAAGACUGAACCUGACAUGAGGCAGAACAUCGGUGAAGGGCCACAAUGUAGUGCCACUCCAGUGUCACACAUUUCACCAUUCAGGUGUUGGAAAAUGGCUUUAAAUGCCCAACAGGUUAAGGAUCUGAAGCACAUCCCCCCCCUUUUUUAUCAUGACUGCUUUUCUUUUGAGCCUUUGACACAUUUCACAAUGUACUGGGAAUUUCAAGGUUCUUGGGAGUUUAAGCACUUUCAUGUUGUUGCUAUAAUUUAGCUCCGUUGUAAAUGUUACUUUAUUAUGAAUAGUCAGGUUAUACUUUUGUUUGUUGCCAACCUCGAGCCCGAAGUAUGCCUCCGUUCUUUCAUUGGAAAAUGCACAUAUAAAGUCCUGCGCUCGUCAUUGCAGAUAAGCAAACCAGCAUUAUGUUUAAAACAAAAAAAAAAACUUUUUAAUAAAAGAUUUUAUUGCUAAGGGCUAUAAAAGGCCUCAGGUAGUACCACCAGUGACCACUGUACCCAAAAUGUGUGUAAAUUUGUACUUGUUGCUAAUAAAGUUUCACCAACUCAAUGGAUACCAUUCAAAGCGGUUGUCUGCCUGGCGGCUUCUUAUAUGUAGUUCAUGAUUAUGGGCAAAUAAUUGCUAAAUAAAUAAAACGCAGCAUCAAAUAUUCCUACCAUCCAACUUGAUCUAAAAGCCACUACAUAUUGUUUGCAUACAUAUGGUUAAUAUUUACUGUUACUGCCAUACGUAACAGUGAAGUUACUGUGGGGCAACACAUCAAAGAAAUAAUGAAGUGUUAUUGUAAUGCAAAUUAAAGUUGUUUUCUAUGUAUGUCUGUUGAGCUGGUGCUUUCUGGUAAUCCCUGUGUUAUCUGGGUCCUUGAUUGCCAUAUGAAUCUUGUUUUAAAAGCAUUGGAAAUGUGAAGGAAGAGGUAAGUUCUUUCCCCCCUUACUGGGGUCAUUCUUUUUUCCAGACACAGACACGCACACCUCUUUCCCCCGGUUCUCCUCAUCCCCACUCAGUGUGCCCCAUGCAUUGUGUGUUGACAAGGCGUGAAUAUUUAAAUGUCCGUGUCUACAGAAAAAGAUGAUGAUAACUUUGUGCUGCACCAUCAUUGGAAUUGUGGUGUUCUCCUAUCUCUACAGCUUCUUCUCAUAAAAGAGGAUUUCUCCAAC